rnacentral:rRNA from 1 species
UACGGGGGGGGGGCAAGCGUUGUCCGGACUCACUGGGCGUAAAGGGUGCGUAGGCGGCGCGGUAAGUCGGGUGUGAAAUCUCGGAGCUUAACUCCGAAACUGCAUUCGAUACUGCCGUGCUUGAGGACUGGAGAGGAGACUGGAAUUUACGGUGUAGCGGUGAAAUGCGUAGAUAUCGUAAGGAAGACCAGUGGCGAAGGCGGGUCUCUGGACAGUUCCUGACGCUGAGGCACGAAGGCCAGGGGGAGCAAACGGG